rnacentral:rRNA from 1 species
UACGGGGGGGGCAAGCGUUGUUCGGAAUUACUGGGCGUAAAGGGCUCGUAGGCGGCCAACUAAGUCGGACGUGAAAUCCCCAGGCUCAACCUGGGAACUGCGUCCGAUACUGGCAGGCUUGAAUCCGGGAGAGGGAUGCGGAAUUCCAGGUGUAGCGGUGAAAUGCGUAGAUAUCUGGAGGAACACCGGUGGCGAAGGCGGCAUCCUGGACCGGUAUUGACGCUGAGGCGCGAAAGCCAGGGGAGCAAACGGG